rnacentral:rRNA from 1 species
UGGGGAAUAUUGGACAAUGGGCGCAAGCCUGAUCCAGCCAUGCCGCGUGAGUGAUGGAGGCCCUAGGGUUGUAAAGCUCUUUCACCGGUGAAGAUAAUGACGGUAACCGGAGAAGAAGCCCCGGCUAACUUCGUGCCAGCAGCCGCGGUAAUACGAAGGGGGCUAGCGUUGUUCGGAUUUACUGGGCGUAAAGCGCACGUAGGCGGACUUUUAAGUCAGGGGUGAAAUCCCGGGGCUCAACCCCGGAACUGCCUUUGAUACUGGAAGUCUUGAGUAUGGUAGAGGUGAGUGGAAUUCCGAGUGUAGAGGUGAAAUUCGUAGAUAUUCGGAGGAACACCAGUGGCGAAGGCGGCUCACUGGACCAUUACUGACGCUGAGGUGCGAAAGCGUGGGGAGCAAACAGG